rnacentral:rRNA from 1 species
AUUGAACGCUGGCGGCAGGCCUAACACAUGCAAGUCGAGGGGUAUAGUUCUUCGGAGCUAGAGACCGGCGCACGGGUGCGUAACGCGUAUGCAAUCUACCUUUUGCAGAGGGAUAGCCCAGAGAAAUUUGGAUUAAUACCUCAUGGUAUGUGAGAAUGGCAUCAUUUUCACAUUAAAGUCACAACGGCAAAAGAUGAGCAUGCGUACCAUUAGCUAGUUGGGAAGGUAACGGCUUACCAAGGCAACGAUGGGUAGGGGUCCUGAGAGGGAGAUCCCCCACACUGGUACUGAGACACGGACCAGACUCCUACGGGAGGCAGCAGUGAGGAAUAUUGGACAAGGGGCGCAAGCCUGAUCCAGCCAUGCCGCGUGCAGGAUGACGGUCCUAUGGAUUGUAAACUGCUUUUGUACAGGAAGAAACACUGGUUCGUGAACCAGCUUGACGGUACUGUAAGAAUAAGGAUCGGCUAACUCCGUGCCAGCAGCCGCCGUAAGAC